AACCAGAUGAAAUCAGUUGCACAAUUUGACAAAUUAAUUUUAUUUGCUUCAAGCACAGAAACGGGUUGGCGGCAGAGACAUGCAUCAGACCAACUGUUGAGUUUUAACCCUUGGCCAUGGGUCAGUACAAUGUAAAAGGAAUUGGAAACAAGAGAAGCUUUUCUACAACAAGACUGUAGAAACUGAUCAGAGAGAUGCUGCUUUGGCCAACUGUCCAACAUCUACUGAAACAGAUAUAGCAAGCUUCAUAGGUUAAUAUUUGAAACAAACAUGCUCCAAGAAAGCUCUUGAGGGAGCAUGAGAGAGCGGAAUGAGCAGCGAGGCAAGCCACAACAGCUGAUCAAUUGGAUUAAACUAUAUGGGGGGGGAGUGUGUGUAAGCGUGUGUGUGUGUGUUUGUGUGGUUGAUUUAGUCUGAUUAAAUAAUACUAAAACCCUUUCCGUGUAUUUUGUAUGUUAUUUUUUUGUAUUAUGCAUUGAAACAGUUGAAAGAUUACGCGAGGUUUCAUUCUGUGUGUCUUCAACCAAUACUUUUGUAACUUCCUUACCUGGACAAUAUGUUUACAGUAACUUCCCUACCUGGACAAUAUGUUUACAGACAUUGCUCAGUGAUGGCAACACCUGCGUUUUGAGUAUAUGUGCUUCUUAAUUGUCUGUUCCUCUUGUACGGUUCAUCUGGGAAGUGACCAA